UCGCACACAAGUUAUACAAAAUAAGUUAUUAGUCUCCAUCGAGGCAAAAUAAUUUCUUCACCAACCCCAGCUGUAGCCCAGAUCACCAAAGAAGCACCUCUGCACCUACUAUGAGCACACCUCAGCGAUUGGCAUCUAUGUAUCUUAUAAUUGUGAGAAGAAAAGUCAGAGAUGUUGCGAAAGUCUCUAGCCAUCAUAACUUCAUAUGUAGAGAUUGUAUGUUCUUAUAAUCGUAUUAUGCUUCAUCCUAAACUGAGAUGUAAUUUGUCUAGAUCAUCAAUCUAUUUUUCCAUUUUCACAGAGUAACUCAAGUUAUGAAUCAACUUCUACACAAAAAUGGCCUUCAGAAGAUUACAACUCAUACAUGCACUAUUUAGGCAGUGUAAACUGUACAGAAAUUAAACUAAAGCGAAAAACAUAACAGCGGUAAUUAACUAGGAUGACUACAAAUACACUGUCGCAUUAUCAGAAGUUCAUAACAUAGCGACAAUCACAUCAUACCAAAGCAUGAAGCUGUGCUGCAAAAGGAUGCACAUAUAUAAUAAAUGUGAAUAGUGAGGGAGCUUUACUUCCUAUUUGUAAUUUGAAUAUUCUUGAUGGAAAAGCACCCUAUGUCUGCUCAAUGUGACAGGGUUUCAACCUAAUGCAAGAUAUUCCAUAAUAUUUGAAUUUAUCCAACAUAGCCCUACUUAGGUGUAAACUAAUCUUCACCAGCCAAUGCGCCAUUACUCUGUUGAUAAAAUCCACUUAACAAGCGUGCCAAUACCUAUUGAAGAAUGUAUUUGGGAUGAUCCAUAUAAAUGAGAAAUGUUUGAUUGUUUGAUCAUUGAUGGAAGUGAUUUUCAUACAAAAGCGAGAUCUAUAUAUCGAAAAAUUCAGUUGCAAAGCUUCCAAAAUGCUAACUUGCAGAAAAUUACUUGUAUUCUUUAGUAAGUGUUAUUACCUCUACUGCAUGGUAUUGAGUGGUUUUCUCCAACCAACAACUACUGGACUCAAUUUAGAAGGAAGUAUUGGGGUGGUUUUCGAAAACAACUGUGGCAUAUAAAAGUGGGGUUCAGACUAGUUAGUAAUCUUCCACAUUAUACUAGUAUCAAUCGCAAAUUGGAAGUAUUUUAGUCCCAUUCAUCCGUUCGAAUCAUGAUACAACAUAUUUCUUGAUUCUUUUGGCAGGACAUAAAUUUGCGAAAUAAAACAUAUAUAUAAUAUUCAAAUUUUGCUAAAAGAAUUAAAGAAAUAUAAACACGAGAGAGAGAGAGAAAGAACAAAAACCUUUAUUCAUAAAGGAAAAGCCCACCAGACUACUUAAAAUAAAUUAUCAUACUUUGUAAUAGUGAUUUCUUCAACUUCUUGAUGUUAUUACAUAAGAACAUAGAAGAUGAUAAUGUAAAUUUUAUAUAAAACACAAUCAUUCGACUACCUCUGUGUUAUAUCUAAAUUAUAUAUACCUAGCCGAAUCUUGGACGAAUCACAAUUUUCUUUUUGCCGAGAAACGGCGCAACCCGUUGUGUUUAUAUGCCAGACGCCGAAUUGCUAAUAGCUCCCGGCCUCUAUUGACAGUUUUUGGUGAGAUGAGACUGCUUGGUGUAUAUGUGCAUGCCGCACGCCCAACUGCUAAUAGGCCCCCGCCACCGAUGAUAGCUCUUGGUGAGAUGAAGCUUGGCGUAUAAGCGUAUGCCUCGUACAAGUGUGACCCAAAAUCUUUGAGAUUUCUAACUGAAUUAGUUUCAGGGCAAUACAGAAACACAUCUACAGUAGUUGUCUUGAUUUCAAUACUUAUUGUUGGGAGAAUUUCUCCGUUGUGUCCAACACCUAUUGGUCGCAAGGAAGCGAAGGACCCAGAAAUGUCAGGUCGUCCAAUUGUAAACAGUUUGGACCAAGAAUUGGCAACGGAAUAUUGUUGCAUCACCCAUACCUCAACAUUCUCUCCAGAAUCUCUACCCAAGAUACAAAGUGAUCCAUCUAACUCCCCAACCCUAUCAUAAAAAUUUGGAUGAUUUAUAUCUUUCGGAUACGGAAUCUCACGAAAAAUUUCGUCUUUCAUAUCAAACGACACAAUCCUUUUUGAAUCCAAAUAGUUUGACCCAGCGAAUGCAGUCCAAUGAAGAACUCCAUUGACAAGUGGUGCAGCACAAUCAAAAAAAAAGGUAUGAUAGGGUAUAUCACUUAAGUUUCUCCAUGAGGAAGUGUCUGUACCAAGAGUAUAGACACUGACACGUGAAUUACGGCGAAGUGAUGUAUACUUACAUUCACUAAAACUUAUAACCUUGUACUGAUUAGUAUGUUGAAGAAAACCAAACCCAAAAUUUGUAAUUUUAUCACAACAAUUAGAAUGAUUGGGAGGAGGUGGAGAUGGUAUAUGGAUGUAGUCAUUAGUAAAUGGAUUCCAUACGAAAAACUUGUUGGUUUCAUCCUCUGAGCAUAAGACUAUCAAUCCAUUGCGAAUACCACCAACAGAAUAGGAAUUUGUAGAAAAAGGUAAUUUCAAGUUUAUAGAUUUAUCACAUGCUAAAUUUAAUUCUACAGCAGAAUAAAUAUUGGGUUUGUGUUUGUCUUGAAAAUUUUCCAUACCCAAUGCUAAAAUGGUAGAAUUUUUCUGGUUUGAAUUGGUUAAAUAAGAUUGAGCAAAUUGGGGAUCAGGGUUUGUAAGUAAUUGAAGCCAAGUUUUGUAUACACACCUGAAUCGCAUCAGUGAUUUGAUUGGUAAAAACAAUAGUAUGUCGAUUACUAUUUCAUCCGGAAGAACGCCCAUAUUGAUUGAUCGGAAGAGAAAAACACUAGAGAAGGAAUGGUUGUUUUUUUAAACAGCAGAGAAGACGAAAACAAAUAUAAAUAAAUAGAUAAAUGAGAGAGCUUUAUCUUCUAUCUUUCUAUCUUUCUGUCUUCUAUUUAUAAGGCAGGGACUUUAGGAGUCCCAACUCCAAACUGAAUUGGAGUUUGUAUUUCUA
rnacentral:lncRNA from 1 species